AGGAAGGCUCGUCCGCUCUGGGUUAGUCGGGUCCUAAGCUGAGGCCGACAGGCGUAGGCGAUGGAUAACAGGUUGAUAUUCCUGUACCACCUAUAAUCGUUUUAAUCGAUGGGGGGACGCAGUAGGAUAGGCGAAGCGUGCGAUUGGAUUGCACGUCUAAGCAGUAAGGCUGAGUAUUAGGCAAAUCCGGUACUCGUUAAGGCUGAGCUGUGAUGGGGAGAAGACAUUGUGUCUUCGAGUCGUUGAUUUCACACUGCCGAGAAAAGCCUCUAGAUAGAAAAUAGGUGCCCGUACCGCAAACCGACACAGGUAGUCAAGAUGAGAAUUCUAAGGUGAGCGAGCGAACUCUCGUUAAGGAACUCGGCAAAAUGACCCCGUAACUUCGGGAGAAGGGGUGCUCUUUAGGGUUAACGCCCAGAAGAGCCGCAGUGAAUAGGCCCAAGCGACUGUUUAUCAAAAACACAGGUCUCUGCUAAACCGUAAGGUGAUGUAUAGGGGCUGACGCCUGCCCGGUGCUGGAAGGUUAAGAGGAGUGGUUAGCUUCUGCGAAGCUACGAAUCGAAGCCCCAGUAAACGGCGGCCGUAACUAUAACGGUCCUAAGGUAGCGAAAUUCCUUGUCGGGUAAGUUCCGACCCGCACGAAAGGCGUAACGAUUUGGGCACUGUCUCAACGAGAGACUCGGUGAAAUCAUAGUACCUGUGAAGAUGCAGGUUACCCGCGACAGGACGGAAAGACCCCGUGGAGCUUUACUGUAGCCUGAUAUUGAAAUUCGGCACAGCUUGUACAGGAUAGGUA
rnacentral:rRNA from 1 species